GGCUUUAUAGUCAACAAUGACAUUAGACUGCAAUUCUAAAGGAGUAAAUUUCAUUACUAAGGCUU
rnacentral:tRNA from 1 species